CUCAUAUCCAGAGAGGUGGAGGGAACGGCCCUGUGAAACCCAGCAACCAGUCUUAUGACAUGGUGCUAAUUCCGUCAGAGUAACUGGAAGAUGUGAG
rnacentral:ncRNA from 2 species